rnacentral:tRNA from 2 species
GGAUUAUUAGCUCAGUUGGUAGAGCAUCCGGCUCAUAACCGGGCGGUCACUGGUUCGAGUCCAGUAUGAUCCA